GUUGUCGGAUUCACUUCAAUCCAUAUGUGUUGGUGUGGGUUGGUGUGGAAUUUAGUUCAAGUCCCGCUCCAAUCCACCUCAACAUAUGUGGAUUGAUGUGAAUCCGACU
rfam:Sorghum bicolor cultivar BTx623 chromosome 10, whole genome shotgun sequence.